rnacentral:rRNA from 1 species
AUGUGGAGGCUGAAGGUCGCGGAGGGUGGCGGCCCGUGGUUGCGGUCGGUGAACAACUUCCUCGGGAGGGCCGUGUGGGAGUUCGACCCCGACCACGGCACGCCGGAGGAGCGCGCCGAGGUUGAGCGAGUGCGCCGGGAGUUCACCGACCGCCGUCUUGAGAAGAGGGAGUCGCAGGAUCUUCUUAUGCGCAUGCAGUAUGCAAAACAAAAGGGUCAUCAGGUGGAUCUUCCUGCUAUCAAGCUUGUACACAGUGCAGAAGUCACAGAAGACACGAUAUUGACAUCGCUGAGGCGGGCCCUUACUCGACACUCUGCUCUGCAAGCAGACGAUGGGCACUGGGCUGGCGAUUUCAGUGGAAUUAUGUUCAUUAUGCCUAUCUUGAAUGAAGAUGGUGGUUGGGGCACGCAAGUGUUGGGGACGAGCACCAUGUUUGGAUCAUGCUUAAACUAUGUUACUUUGAGGCUUCUUGGCGAGGUGGACAAUGAAUCCUUGACCAAGGGACGUGAUUGGAUACUAUCGCGUGGAAGUGCAGCUGCAAUACCACAAUGGGGAAAGAUAUGGCUCUCGGUAUGUCACCGGAACACAAACAAUCUCGUAUGUGGAAUAUAUAUGAAGAUUAAUGUAGCUUCCUUGAGUAUCAUGCAUGGACGUGUUUUGAAGCCACCGACAUUUUAA